GAUGAACGCUGACAGCAUGCUUAACACAUGCAAGUCUUUGGCGAAGCUGUGCUUGCACAGCCUAGCCAAGGCGGACGGGUGAGUAACGCGUAAGGAACUUGCCCUGCAGUCAGGGAUAACAGACGGAAACGACUGAUAAGACCUGGUAAAGUCAGGCGGACUCAUGUCCAGCCUGAUGAAAAGAGAUGCUGCAGGAGAGCCUUGCGUCCUAUUAGCUUGUUGGUGGGGUAACGGCCCACCAAGGCGAUGAUAGGUAGCCGGCCUGAGAGGGUGGACGGCCACAAGGGGACUGAGAUACGGCCCUUACUCCUACGGGAGGCAGCAGUGGGGAAUAUUGGACAAUGGGGGCAACCCUGAUCCAGCAAUUCUGUGUGCACGAUGAAGGUUUUCGGAUUGUAAAGUGCUUUCAGCAGGGAAGAAAAAAAUGACGGCACCUGCAGAAGAAGCGACGGCUAAAUACGUG
rnacentral:rRNA from 1 species